rnacentral:rRNA from 1 species
AACGAACGUUGGCGGCGUGGAUGAGGCAUGCAAGUCGAACGCGAAAGCCGCAAGGUGAGUAGAGUGGCGGACGGGCGAGUAACACGUAAUCAAGCUACCUGCGAGACGGGGAUAACCUCGGGAAACCGAGGCUAAGACCCGAUGGUCUACUUGGGCCGCAUGGUCUGAGUAGUAAAUGGACGGGAUCCUUCGGGAUCGCCUGCUCGCAGAGGUGAUUGCGGCCCAUCAGCUAGUUGGUAGGGUAAUGGCCUACCAAGGCAACGACGGGUAGCCGGCCUUAGAGGGUGGUCGGCCGCACUGGGACUGAGACACUGCCCAGACACCUACGGGUGGCAG